GACGAACGUUGGCGGCGUGCUUAAUACAUGCAAGUCAACUGAAGCAGUGGUAGCAAUAUCGCUGUGGAGGUGGCGCACGGGUGAGUAACACGUAGGUAAUCUGCCUUCAGGUCUGGCAUAACUCCGGGAAACCGGGGCUAAUAGCAGAUGAUGCAGCGGCUCGACAUCGAGACAGUUGUUAAAGCUAUGGCGCCUGAAGAUGAGCCUGCGUCUGAUUAGCUAGUUGGCGGGGUAACGGCCCACCAAGGCAACGAUCAGUAGCUGGUCUGAGAGGAUGAUCAGCCACACUGGAACUGAGACACGGUCCAGACUCCUACGGGAGGCAGCAGUAAGGAAUAUUGCUCAAUGGGAGAAAUCCUGAAGCAGCAACGCCGCGUGAGGGACGAAGGGCUUUUGCUUGCAAACCUCUGUAGUGAGAGAAAAGAAUCCCAAUCUUUGGGACAUGAUGGUAUCUCAAAAGUAAGCCCCGGCUAACUACGUG
rnacentral:rRNA from 1 species